rnacentral:rRNA from 1 species
AUUGAACGCUGGCGGCAUGCUUUACACAUGCAAGUCGAACGGUAACAGGCCGCAAGGUGCUGACGAGUGGCGAACGGGUGAGUAAUGCAUCGGAACGUGCCCAGUCGUGGGGGAUAACUACUCGAAAGAGUAGCUAAUACCGCAUACGAUCUAUGGAUGAAAGCGGGGGACCGUAAGGCCUCGCGCGAUUGGAGCGGCCGAUGUCAGAUUAGGUAGUUGGUGGGGUAAAGGCCCACCAAGCCAACGAUCUGUAGCUGGACUGAGAGGACGACCCGCCACACUGGGACUGAGCCACGGCCCAGACUCCUACGGGAGGAAGCAGUGGGGAAUUUUGGACAAUGGGCGCAAGCCUGAUCCAGCAAUGCCGCGUGCAGGAAGAAGGCAUUCGGGUUGUAAACUGCUUUUGUACGGAACGAAACGGCUCUGGUUAAUACCCGGAGCUAAUGACGGUACCGUAAGAAUAAGCACCGGCUAACUACGUG